UGAUUACUUCAGUACUGAAGAGUUGUAUAUCUCACAAAACAGAAAGAACCAGAAACUAGCUAUAAACCAAAGAUGCAUUAUUUCAACAAGUCUCCUAAUAAGAAUCUUAUUGCAAAGAGUGGCCAACUCCACACAAGGCCUAUUCUGUUAAGAGUGAUCACAUUUUUACACAAAGGCUAAGAAGGAAGACUAUUUACUUUCUAUAGGGUGUGAGAGAUUAGAGAUAUAACAGCUUCUCUGAACCACUUUUGCUCUCAUAUCAACAAGCUUCUCAAACCGUAGAUGUAAUAAAAGAUCCGUCACCUGCAAGUUAUGAAAACCCUAAAUAAGACUCGAGGGUGCAGAAAAUGUCAUAUAAUCAUAUAUAUCAUCAUCAAUAGUCGAUGCUCAUGAAUGAUUAACAUACCUUCAACUGCAAGAAACCAUCCCACGAACCAUCAAAACGUAACAGAGCGACAAAGAUCAAUGGAAAGCGAGUCCAUGGAUUUAAGCACUAGCGAUCUUGAUGCAACCUCCCCCCAAACCUCACCUCCUUCACGUCUUUCUACUGUAAUCUCUAUGCGCCAAACAUGUUUAGAACCAUAUUCGUUGGAAGUUGUUUGUGCAAGGGGGGAGCAGCUACAAUAAUGAUACGAGAUUUUUGGGACGAUACGAAACAAUUUUCUUUAUUAGCUUUUGCGGAAAAUCCGAAGUUACAAAGAGAGAAGUCUCGCCGCGGCAGUUAUAGACUAUCUGCCGAGCUGAGAACCUAAUACGAAACAGAAGGGCAAAAUCACGAGAAAGAGAGUCGCGGCGGGAAUCUCGGGCUAGGGCGAGUUCGGGCGCGACACGAUUCUCAGUCUGGUGGAUAAUAACCUCCGGACCGAUCCUUGUUCCAAACAGUGGUUUAAUGUAUUUAUAGUUGCACAGAAACCUAGAAGCUCUUUGUGUCUCCUUGGCGAAUGACGGUUUUACCCCUGCGAAGGUGCUGGUCCUAUUUUUGGGUGAAAGGCUUCAUUAAUUGACAUAUCUUGUUUUAUGGACCUUCUAAUUUGGAAAGGGCAAGGCCCAUAUCCAACAAUAGUCCCCCCCUUUAGUCCGAUUUGCGAGAGUCUUCUUGAGCCUGACGGGCUGGUUCCGGGCGUAGGCUAGUUGGUCGUAAAACAAGAUGGGCAAGUUUGCGAAGACUUUGAAUUGCCUUGCUGCAUACUUAGAGCAUCAAAUCUUCUUGUGAUGUCUUGACGCGUUUUUUUGGAGAGUGCGGGUCGUUCUCGGGAUGACUUGUGACUUGGCACGCUUUCCGAGAAGAACGGAUCAUUAUCGGGAUGAAUAGUGACUUGGCACGUUUUCCGAGAAGAGCGGAUCAUUCUCGGGAUGAAUAGUGACUUGGCACGUUUUCCGAGAAGAGUGGAUCAUUCUCGGGAUGAAUAGCGACUCGGCACGUUUUCCGAGAAGAGCGGAUCAUUCUCGGGAUGAAUAGUGACUUGGCACGUUUUCCGAGAAAAGCGGAUCAUUCUCGGGAUGAAUAGUGACUUGGCACGUUUUCCGAGAAGAGCGGAUCAUUCUCGGGAUGAAUAGUGACUUGGCACGUUUUCCGAGAAGAGCGGAUCAUUCUCGGGAUGAAUAGUGACUUGGCACGUUUUCCGAGAAGAGCGGAUCAUUCUCGGGAUGAAUAGUGACUUGGCACGUUUUCCGAGAAGAACGGAUCAUUCUCGGGAUGAUUCGGGACUUGGCACGCUUCACGAGGCGCGGGAGCUAGGUUCAUGGUAAAAAUUAGGUCAUGUGUUUUUACCUCGGUAAACGCGCUGGGUCCCCCACUAUAUAUAUGUCUCCUCCAUUAUUUUUUUACUCUUUCACUUCUCCACUUUUGCAAAAGGUAAAGUCUUUCUCCUCUUUCUCUCUCUCUUCUUCUUUGUUUUAAUUUUGAUUUGGUUUGGUCGUAUGCUCCUUUCUUCGAAUCUUCUUUGUUUUGUUGUGAUGUGGUCUACGAUUUGUGUUUGGCUUGGAUUUUCUCUCGGAUUUUUCUUCCCACAUUGAAGCUUAUCAAGCAACAACAAUAUCUCUCCUCUUCAACUUGUCUUGACUUCGGGGUUCAAAGCGCAAAGAGCCUCGAGCUCCUCCCUCUUGCCUAGUUCGGAUUGUCCUCUCCGCUCUAGAUCCACGGCGAGCUCGCCGUCCUGAGACCAGCGGAAGCGUGAUGAUACUGUGGCGAACUUGAUCUCGGCGGAUCUUGGUGCUUUAACGCCGUGCCGCAGCGGGGUCGUGACGAAGGGUUGACGCGACGCUGCCGAGACGGACUUGCGAUGGGGCGAGGUCGGGGCUGCGCCGUGACGAGGCGGCGCGGUUAAUGCCUUGGCCGUGGUAGACCUUUAGUUUGACGACACGGCGCCGAGGUGAGUUUCUGCCGAAACGGGCUGCUUUUGAUCUAGAUCGGAGUUGAAAUGCCGUGUGAGUCCGUCGUGUCGAAGCUAUAGCGGUUUUUGGUCGCGGCGACGUGUUGCCGCGGCGAGCUCCUAGCGCCGUAGCGAGGUGUUCCCGUGGCGAGCUCCAAGUGCCGUGGCGAGUUUUCGAUGGACCGAGGUUGGAGCCGUGCCGCGGCGGGGCUUCCGGAAUGAGGUACCGUCGAAAUGAGGCGUCGUCGAGACGGGCUGCGGUGAGUCGCUUCCGAGAUGAGAGGUGAUUGCAUCGUGGCAAAGUGCGACAAAGGGAGACGGUGUCGUGCCGAGCCUUCAUUGCCGAGGUGGAAUGUUGGUGCCGUUGGAACUGGGCCGCGCCGCCGAGAUGGGCCAUGACGGGGGUGCGUAAACUUUGUGCCGCGACGGAGCUGCCGUGCCGGAAGAUGAGGUGGCCGCGCCCGUUGCUUUGUCUUGGAGAAGUUGUGACGAGAUAGAAUAUAUGAUCCGGCUGCGGCGGGACUUGGUCAAUGAUCUUUUAAAAUGCCGGGGUCGUUGUGAAGUCUUGGCCGCGGCGAUACUUGGCGUGGCGAAAUGGCGUCGAAGGGACCGCGAUGGGGUCGUGUUACCGAGCCGGAACUUCAUCGAGUUGAGUUCGAACCGUCAUGCCAAUUUCGUCACGUCUCGUGAAAAGGUUGCUUCUGACCGGAAUUCGAAACCAUGGAUUUGGCGGGAUACGAAAGUUUUGAGACACUUCUCGACUUCUAGAUUUUGAUACGGUCCUUGGUUACUUUUGCAAGGUAUCGAUGUCUCAGUUCGCGGGAAAUCAUGUCGGUGGAGUCGAUCCGUUUGAUGGCGUUCCGGACGAGCUGCAAAGAGACGACUAUCGCCAACUUGAACGUGGAUUUGCGGAUGAUUAUGGUGGGACUCACGCCGCCUGGCGUGGCUUCAGUGGUUCCGAAGAGACUCUCGGAGACUUAACGGAGGAGGACGUGCGCAAUCUCGAUGGAUUGCUUCCUUCGUGCAGCAAUGGGGGCACACUAGUUCCCGGGGAGCCAAGUACUCGCCGUGGAAAGGUGUUUGAAGAUGUUGUCGGUUCGAGUUCGAGAAAUCCUCAUCGGUCUAUAGUUUCGGGUUUGAGAGCUUCCAGUGCGGUCCCCGAAGAUGGGAGAGUUGAGCCCACGUUGGAUGAUGGUAUGGCCAAUGUUCUCGAUCGUCGAGAUAAGGGAAAAUCUCUCAGCACAGAAAAAUCCGUGUUUGACAUGUUUGAGGCGUGCGGGAUAGAACCGGGGAUUGAGAUUCUGAUCCCAAAAUCGCGUCGUCGCCCAUGGGAUGCUCCGGAGGGGUAUAUUUGCCUUUACGAAGAUUUCUUUUCGGAUUGCGGUCUUUGGUUUCCACUCCCGCAGUUUCUUGCGAGUUACUGUGCUCGUCGGGAGAUAGCAUUUUCUCAACUCACCGUGGCUUCUGUUCGGAACGCGGUGGGUCUCGCAAUCCUUGCCGCCGCGGUAGGUGUUGUCGUGGACUUAGAUCUUUUUGAAGAGUUUACCAAGUACCUGUUUGGAAAAGAGAAUCCGGGCAUGUGCUGCGCUAGUUCGAGGCCGGGUUUCAGAAUUGUCGAUGGUGCUGCAAGCAAAGUUCGCAGGUGGCGCAAGUAUUAUUUUUUGUGAAAGUAACCGAGCUUUCCGUCGAAGAUCUCAGCUUGCCAUAUGCUAGGACGUGGAACCUAGAUCGCGGUAGUUCUUAGUUGGUCCGGAAUCGUGUGAUCUAAUCGGUAUUCUUAUGUUGAUUUUGCAGGAAAGUUUGGGUCGACGGCAGAGGAUACCGAAGACUUUCGAGCGAGAGUUGCAGCGGUGAAGGCGAGAAGGACCUUGUGGUGGCCGGAUAUACUUAAUCAUUUCAACACUUGUGAGUUUCUUAUCUUUGUUUCGUUUCCUUGUAUUUCGAUUCGUAUUUCGUUUCUUACAACGUAACAUGUUGCAGGUUCUCGGUCUUGUCUUAGGAUGGGUGAUUGUGAGAUUCCUGAUUAUGCCGAUCAAUUCGACGGAGACGGCACGCAGGUCGACGAGCCGCAGAUCGAGCUUGGCCCUAUGAUGUUACCCAACGCUUCAUUUCAGUGCGGUUUUGGGAAUGACGCUCCGGUUGGUGACGUGGACGUGGCGGUGGAGACCACGGAUGCUGCUGCGCCUGCUGACGAUCGUGACGCCUUGCGCCGGGCUAGAUCUGAGGAAGUGAAGGCUGCACGCGACGGGAAGAAGGUUUCGAGAUCCGCAAGUGGUAGUGCUCCGCCAUCGUCCGGUCGAGGAGAUACGUCUCGGAAGAGGAGCUCGCGUGGAAGUCCUGGCGGAGGUUCGAGUGUUCGCCGGGAGGCUAGGCGCGAGGAGCCCAUUCGUGAGAUCGCCGAAGGAGUUGACCAUUCAUUCUCCUUCAACUAUGGUCGGAGGGAUCGGAUGUUUUUCACUCAUGGAGCUGCAUGUGCUGAUCUUGCUAGCAAGGUUCGCGGAGACUUUGCUGAGUUUCCCGCUGUUGACUCUCUCUGCGGGAGGGAGCUUUACGAGGAUUGGGCUUCUCGCUCUUUUCAGGUUUGUGUCUUGUUUCUGUUUCUAACCUACUUGCUUUCAUUAAGUGUAGUUUAUGAGAUUUUCGUUUCUGCAGGCGAUGAGUCAGACCAACCGUUUGGUUGGUUUCUACGAGGAGCAGUGUCGUGCCGCGGCGAGAGACUCUGACUCGGCGAAGGCUGCUGCUGAGGCUUCGGAUCGUUCUGCACAGAGCCACUUGAGGAACUACAAUUCGGAGAAGAGCAGGUGCGCUGAUCUUACGAGGCAGCUCAAGGAUAAGAAGAAGCAGUAUCUUUCCGAUACCGAUAGGCUGAGGAGGGCCCGUGAUGAGAGUGCCGCGGCCGAGCGUCAUAGGGUUGCUGGAGAGAUUCACGAGUACCGUACCCGUAUCUAUAGGAUGGGGAGACACAUCGUGGGACUUCGUGAGAAGAAGAAGCCUCUGUUGAUGCUUAGUCAGGUUUCGGGCAUGGAGAAGUGUCUUAAGAAAAUGGUGAUAAAUGGUACGCACAUUCCUCUGCGGAACUUGCCUCAGGUUGAACAGGACCACAUUCAGUGGCGGGCGACGGUUGACGGGAUAGUGGUCUCGGACAUUCUCGAGAGCGACCUCGCUCCCUUUCCAGAGUUUAUGGCUGGUCCUUCGAACGUGGCACCGGGAGAUGGGGUGUAUGAUGCAGGGGGUGCGGAAGUUGCGGAAGACGCGGAAGGUCCCCAGGAUUGAGGUUGCUGUUGUUUUGUUGUAGUUGCUAUUUCGGCGUUAUAUUUUAUAUCCGGCCUUUUAGCCGUUUGUGGCUUGUCGGAUCGGCGUUUGUAUUUGUGAUCCUCUGUUGGAUCUUACAGAGGAUCACAAAUACAACUCGUGAUGUUGUUUCCUUAUUUGAACCUUGAUGACGUUAGAUUUGCUUCGAUGAAUGUUGGAUUUUCGGAAUUUCUAUUGUCUAUUCUUGUCGUAGAAUUGCUUGUGACGCAGGAGGUUAUGCAGGGAUAAUAGGGCGAGAAGACCCUUGGAAGUUUUCGCUUGGUUCCGGGACGUAUUUUGCGGGGCGAGACGUCUCUCGGCUUAUCCUGUUACGUGCUCCUCGGAACGCUAAGCUGAAUGAGCAGACGAGGCGGGCUCGUCGUACUGUUUAGGUGUGGUGCGUGCGACCGGCUUAUCCUGUGUGUGCUUUGAGUUCGACAAGAGCGUGCGAGCCGGAGCUCGGCUUAUUGGCCCUGCCGCCUGCUAGCUAUAGUGCGAGACUGGGCUCGGCUUUAUCUUUACCGAAGUUAAAGACGUGGAUUAUUUCACCACUGCAUCCAUGUGGAACGCGUUUUGUGAUCGAACUCCUGGCCAGGGACGAUGUUUGAGCUUGUCGAUCAGUUGAGGCGGACUCAGCCGAAAGAGCUCUUUGUUUUUUUUUUGAGUUAUAGUUGUGCUUUGUUAAAAGCUGCCUACGUACCCUUGCGAAGGGAUCAAGCCAUUCGUAGUUCAUAUUGUGAGCUCAGUUGUUCGAGCGUUCUUUUUUUUUUUUUUUUUUUUUUUGCGCGGCCGUGGCGGUUAAUAGUAGUAACGUUUCAGAUUGCCGGAGUUCCAUGAGCGGGGAACGGACGUGCCAUCCAUCGUUAGGAGUUCAUAAACUCCAGGUCGGACGACUUUGGAGACAAGGUAAGGGCCUUCCCAGUGCGCGCCGAGUUUGCCGGCGUUGAGUUCGGCUGUGUUCUCGAACACCUUCCGGAGGACCAAGUCGCCUUCGUCAAAGUGGCGAGCCUUGACCUUCUUGUUGUAGAAUUUUGCCGCGGCCUGUUGAUAGUUUUGUAUACGGAGGAGUGCCUUGUCCCUUUCUUCCUCGAGGCAGUCAAGACUGUCUCGUAUCAUUGAAUUGUUUAGCGCGGGAUCGUGUACAAGCAUAGAGCGACGGAGCGUCGGUAUCCCUACUUCGGCCGGGGCGAGUGCUUCCAUGCCAUAAGCAAGUGAGAAUGGCGUUCUUCCCGUAGACCGUCGAGGUGAGGUUCGGUGGGACCAUAGGACGCCGUCGAGCUCGUCAGCCCAAACGCCUUUCUUCUCUUCCAGGCGUUUUUUGAUGCCGUCAAUGAUCGUCUUAUUCGUGGCUUCGGCCUGGCCGUUACCUUGGGGGUACCUUGGCGUGGACUUACUCAGGCGAAUUCGCCAACUCGCGCAGAAUCCUUCGAAUUGUAGCGAAGUGAACUGGGUUCCAUUGUCCGUGAUGAUUUCGUAUGGAAGUCCGUGGCGGCAUAUGAUGUUUUUCCAUACAAAGUUUUGCACCUCUUUUGCUUGAAUUCUAGCGUAAGAUUCGGCUUCAACCCAUUUCGUGAAAUAGUCGGUCAUGAUGAGGAUGUAUUUUUUCUGUCGUGAGGCGGGUAACGGACCGACGAUGUCCAUUGCCCAACGCAUGAAUGGGUAAGGCUGGGAGGCCGUGCGAAGGAGCUCGGUUGGAGCGUGGAUGAGAGGCGCGUGCCUUUGGCAUUUUUCGCACUUUGCCACAAAUUUGUCGCAGUCCGCAUUCAUUGUUAGCCAAAAAUGACCAGUUUUGCGGAUUUGUAAGGCAAGAGCUCGCCUUGUCAUCGACCUGGUCGGAACCUACGCAUGUGAGGAUAGCAGACGGAGUGAUACGGAAGAGGUCUCCCUUCAACACGGUGUAUUGGGCACUUCGUGUACGCAGACGCCGUGCCUCCCACUUAUCCGAUGGUAUUAUGCCGUCUACGAUGUAGUUAAUUAUCUCGGAGCGCCAAUCGUUUCGGACUUUGGGAUGACCGCUUAUGGAGUUGCCGAUAUUGGCUUUUGCGCUGGGGGACGGAUCAUUCGAUGAAGCGAGCGGGCUGUGCGUUGUUAGAUUGUCGUCGUUAAGUGGCGCGGAGACCACGAGAAUUUGUCCGGGUGGUAACGAUGCAGCAGUAGCUUCCACAUUAAUAUUGUUCGGAGUUGCUUCAGCGAUUGGUUGCGAGGAGCUCGAACCAGUCGACGCGGACGCGCCAGGAGAGCAAUCCAAAGUCGAAUCGACAACCAAUGCAUUAGUUUUUGCAGAGGUCGGAUCUACAACCAAGGCGGCAGGCUUUUCGUUUGUGGGCGCGGUAGCGGUUGAAGUCGGCUCGGCGACUGAAGUCGUGAUCGGUUGGGCUAGUGAAAUCAGGUCGAUGCUCGGAUGGUCGAUGCUCUCAACGGNNNNNNNNNNNNNNNNNNNNNNNNNNNNNNNNNNNNNNNNNNNNNNNNNNNNNNNNNNNNNNNNNNNNNNNNNNNNNNNNNNNNNNNNNNNNNNNNNNNNGGAUGUGGACGCGAGCGUUGCGAGUGCGUCGGCUGGCGCGUUGUUACUCCGGGGGAUCUUGGUCAAGUCGAACUGCUCGAAUAACUUUGAGAGAUCUCGGACGACUUUGAGGUAUGCAUCCAUACGAUCGUUCUUAGCCUCGUAAUCGCCGCUAAAUUGGUUUGCAACGAGUUGGGAGUCGCAGUAUGCCUGAAUUCGUUUGACUCCGAUGCCGUGUGCUAGUCGGAGCCCUGCAAUCAAUGCUUCGUACUCUGAUUCGUUGUUCGAGGCGGUAAAGGCGAGGCGGAACGAUUGUUCUAAUAUUUCACCCGUUGGCGACUGCAAGUGCACUCCAAUCCCCGAACCGUGUUUAGAGGCUGCGCCAUCUACGUACAAUGUCCAUUUCUCGUUUGGCGAGACUCCUUGAUCGAGAUCUGGCGAGAGCUCAACAAGGAAAUCUGCGAGGACUUGUGACUUGGCACAUGUUCGAUACUUGUAUUGGAUAUCGUACUCCCCGAGUUCGAUGGCCCAUUUUGUGAGUUUGCCGGACUGGCUUGGACUGUGGAGAAUUAUUCGGAGUGGUUGAUUGGUGAGAACUUCGACAGAGUGGGACUGAAAAUACGGCCUGAGCUUACGCGCUGAAAUGACAACCGCAUAUGCAAGUUUCUCCAAAGUGGGAUAGCGAAGCUCUGCGCCAUCAAGAGUUUUACUGACAUAGAAGAUUGGGUGCUGCUCGUCGCGAUCCUCUUUGACAAGGACACCGCUGACCGCCGAAGUUGAUACGGCAAUGUAGAGGUACAAAGUCUCUCCUUGGUCGAGUUUUGCGAGCACCGGAGGAGACGAAAAUAGUCUUUGAGCUGUUUGAAAGCUUCCUCGCAUUUGUCGUCCCACUCGAAUCGUUUAUUGCUGCGUAGCAGUUGGUAAAACGGGAGGCACUUGUCAGUCGAACGCGAUAUGAAUCGAUUUAAUGCCGCAAUGCGUCCAGUAAGGCGUUGCACUUCGGGAGUGUUUCUUGGGGAGGGGAGGCUGAUGAUCGCAGAAAUCUGUUUGGGAUUUGCUUCGAUACCUCUUUGGGUGACGAGGUAUCCCAGGAACUCUCCCGACUUCACUCCGAAAGUGCACUUAGCAGGAUUCAGCUUCAUGCUAUACUUAUUCAGGACUUCGAAACAUUGCUGCAAAUGCGAUACGUGUUCGGAUGACUUGGUGGAUUUGACGAGCAUGUCGUCGAUAUACACCUCCAUCGUUUUGCCGAGUUGACUUGCAAACAUUCGAUUCACCAAGCGUUGAUAUGUGGCUCCGGCGUUCUUCAAACCAAAUGGCAUUACCUUAUAACAAUAUGUUCCUUGUUCAGUGAUAAAUGUGGUCUUCUCGCGAUCGUUCUUAUGCAUCAGAAUUUGGUUAUAACCAGAGAAAGCGUCCAUAAACGAGAGGAGUUCGUUCCCGGCAGUUGCUUCGACGAGCUGGUCAAUGCGCGGGAGAGGAAAGCUAUCUUUCGGACAGGCUUUGUUGAGAUCGGCGAAAUCCACACAAACUCUCCACUUGCCGUUUUUCUUCUUAACAACCACGGGAUUGCUUAACCACUCCGGAUAUCGUACUUCCAUUAUAGAAUCGGCGUCGAGUAGUUUUCGGACUUCUUCGUUUACUGCGGCAGCGCGAUCGCGACCUAACUUCCUUCGUUUUUGUUUGAUAGGCUUGAAGGUUGGAUCGACGUUCAGUUCGUGACACGUAACUUCGGGGUUGAUGCCGGGCAUGUCGGCGAUCGUCCAUGCGAAGGUGGCAGAGUUGUGUUGUAGGAACUUCACGAGUUCUUCUUUCAAUGGGAGUGGAAGGUCAGCACCUACUCCUACACAAUGUGCAGGAUCAGUUGUGUCAAUGUUGACUUGGUCGAUUAGCUCCGUGUGUGGUGCUUGUCGUGUAUCCACCUUCGGGGUUGAUUCAGAGAUGACAAACAUUCUUUGGGCAUUGGCGCGAGCGUUGCGCAGCUGUCUCUCGACGAUAAAACAUGUGCGCGCAACCAAUGGAUCGCCUCGCAACGUAUAGAUUCCUCGUUGAGUAGGGAACUUCACGCAUUGAUGAUAUGUCGAAGGGAUAGCUUUCAUUCUAUGCAGCCAUGGUGUGCCUAAUAUGACGUUGUACACGAUUGGUUUGUCAACAAUAGCAAAGUUAAAGCAUUGCAUCGUUCCCCCGACGUAGAUAGGGAGCAUGACUGUGUCGCCGUCAAAGCCAGUAAGAGGCUGCGUGUUAUGCUCGGCAAGGCGCAGAUCGACUCCCAUCCGGAUCAAUACGUCUUUAAAGAUUACGUUGACAGAGCUUCCCGUGUCGAUUAGGAUCUUUGUGACCACGCUUUCCCCGAUUGCCAAUUCGACGACCAGCGGGUCGUUGUUAGGUCCUGUUUGCAGGGCGUCCGCUUCAGUAAAGGUGAUUGGUUCGUAGUUUUCGACGUCCGGGCUACUCCUCGUGAGCCAGCUGCGGCUAUUUUCACCUUGUCGGUGGUAUGCCCGUAUCGAGCGAACCGAAUCGUUGCAUGUCGUUAGACCACCCAUUAUCAUAUCUACGCGCUGUCGGCCUGCGUACGCGUCGUCGAUUGGGGGAAGAUCUUGCUUUCGCUUAGGGGGAGGCGACGGUCGGGCUUCUUCUCGGAGAGCGCGGGGCUCCUCCUCAAUCUGUUUGCCGUCGCGCUGGUGCUGUUGUGAAUCGUAUCCAACAUAAGAGUUGUCCCUGUGCGAGAGUGCUUGUCGCCGCUCCCUUUCGAUAUCGAAAUCUCCGUUUUUGAACUUUUCGAGGAGUAGCGCUUGAAGUUGUCGGCAUUCCUCCGUAGUGUGUCCAGCGAACUUAUGAAACUCGCAAUAUCCUCGUUUUGAGGUUGUGCCGGAGUCGCGGUACCACUUGUUCCACGGCUUGUUGCCGUUUACUUUUUGCUCUUGGCCGUUGACGGCAAAAGUGGUAGGCUUACGCGUUUUAUCGUUUCGGGCGUACUCUCGAUCGUAGUGUUGGCGCGGUUCAACAUAUUCUUCUGGUGCUUUGGUCUCCGAUGCUUUAGACUUUGGGUUUGAUGGCUUUGCGAGUCGCUCCGCCCGUGCCGCCUUUUCUUCUUCGACUUCGAUGUAUCGACUUGCUUUUCGUAUGGCGUCGUCGAGCGUCGCGGGCUGUAAGAUUAUGAGAUCUUUGCGAAACUUUGAGCCGAAAAGCAAUGCGUUUCGGAGAGCCGCGAUGGCCGCGUCGUCGGCUAUUGCGAUUGUGCUGACAACUUUUUUGAAUUUUUCCAUAAAAUCUCGAAGGGGCUCGUUCUCCUUCUGAGACAUGGUCCAGAGGUCGGCGUUUGUUGCGCCUUGCUUCAUGAAUACCAUGUGGUGUUGCAGGAACAUUUUUUUCAGGUCGUAAUAACUAUCGAUCGAGUUGCAAUCGAGACGGGAAAACCAAUUCAGAGCUUCUCCGGUGAGGUGCUCGACGAGCAAUUGGCAACUCCCGGUGUCGCUCUGUUCAGGUGGGAAGUAUGCGCGGUCAAUGGCCAAUUGGAUGGAUCUUACGAACUCCUUCGGAUCGGUGAAACCGUUGUAAGGAACGAUCUUCAUCUUAGUGACAUGAUGUACGUGAAUAUCCGUANNNNNNNNNNNNNNNNNNNNNNNNNNNNNNNNNNNNNNNNNNNNNNNNNNNNNNNNNNNNNNNNNNNNNNNNNNNNNNNNNNNNNNNNNNNNNNNNNNNNGACCGCUGCAUUUCUUCGAGCACCUUCUCUAGAUCGGGUGCCGUGCUGGCUUGCCGCAUUUUGGAAGACAAGUCCUUGAUCUGUGCCUGCAGUUGCGCCAGCUCUUGGUUUCGGGCCUGGCUCUCCUCGCUCGCGGGUCGGCUGACUAGGUGUCGUACGUUUGUCGGAUGUUGGUCGCGGCGGUGGAGAUGGUCGUUCGUUCUGUUUCGACUGCCAGGCCGGUUCUCGUGUUGGAGCUCAUCGAUGGAUCCCACAAUAAUCGACGCCGGCUGGCGUCUUUGGUCCCUGGUGCGUUCGUCUAACGGAGUAGGCGGGGGCGAUGUUUCUUCCAGCCGGGAAUGGUGAGGUCGCGAGCUGUGUCGAUGGCGCCUAAGCCGGUCAAUCCUAUUUCGGGUGUCUGCGUUCGCCUCUCCAAGUGCGUUGAUCCUCUCGGAGGUUCGUACGUCCUGGUCGUCGAGACGGUCGAGGAUGGUUUGCAUCAGGCCGUCAAGGUGAGUUCCACCAUGGGCAGUAGCCGCGGUGGCCGGAGCGAUGCGUACUGGCCUGGUGUUUCUCGGGGCGGCAUGCACAUGAUCGGUUUGCCGGGCCGGGGGUAUCUGUCUUGGAUUGGCAGCUUCCACCUCGACAGUCUCUGGCUCGGCACGGCGGUGCGGCAGUCUUUGGCCCGGCUCGGCGUUUUCCGUUUCAGCAGUUUCCGGCUCGGCACGUUCUGGAUCGACAUUCGUGGGCGCGGCGCCUGCUGUCGUUGCUCCAGUGAGGUGUGGUAGCAUAUUCGUUCGGGCUCUUCUGCGUCCCCACAGGUGCCGCUCCGGAGACAGAACGGGCGCGUCGGGAUCCGGGCGUCGGGAGGUGUUCGUUCCCCUGUCGCUGGAUGAGUUUGCGUCGGACAUGUUGCUUUGGAUUCUCCGGGAGACUUCGAAAUUUUCAAGGUUGCCAAGAAAGAAGUGCUUCGUAUGCCCCACGGUGGGCGCCAAUUGUUUGUGCAAGGGGGGAGCAGCUACAAUAAUGAUACGAGAUUUUUGGGACGAUACGAAACAAUUUUCUUUAUUAGCUUUUGCGGAAAAUCCGAAGUUACAAAGAGAGAAGUCUCGCUGCGGCAGUUAUAGACUAUCUGCCGAGCUGAGAACCUAAUACGAAACAGAAGGGCAAAAUCACGAGAAAGAGAGUCGCGGCGGGAAUCUCGGGCUAGGGCGAGUUCGGGCGCGACACGAUUCUCAGUCUGGUGGAUAAUAACCUCCGGACCGAUCCCUGUUCCAAACAGUGGUUUAAUGUAUUUAUAGUUGCACAGAAACCUAGAAGCUCUUUGUGUCUCCUUGGCGAAUGACGGUUUUACCCCUGCGAAGGUACUGGGCCUAUUUUUGGGUGAAAGGCUUCAUUAAUUGACAUAUCUUGUUUUAUGGACCUUCUAAUUUGGAAAGGGCAAGGCCCAUAUCCAACAGAAGUUUUAGCCAAAACCACCAACUUCCCACCAACAUUCGCCAUUUGACACUCAAAAUAAUUGAGCUUAGGCAAAUAAGAUACACCUUCCAGAGGUCUCCAAAACGACUCAUCCGGAUUAUACACCGAUACAUGUAG
rnacentral:lncRNA from 1 species